rnacentral:rRNA from 1 species
AUUGAACGCUGGCGGCAGGCCUAACACAUGCAAGUCGAGCGAGCGGCGGACGGGUGUGUAAUGUAUGGGGACUGCCCGAUAGAGAGGGAUAAAUACUGGAAACGGUAUCUAAUACCCCAUACUAUCGCAUAUCCCCUAUGGUAUUAGCUAGUAGGGGUGGUAAUGGAUCACCUAGACGACGAUCCCCAGAUGGGCUGAGAGGAGGAGCAGCCACACUGGGACUGAGACACGGCCCAGACUCCGACGGAGGGAGCAGUGGGGAAUAUUGCACAAUGGGCGCAAGCCGGAUGCAGCCAUGCCGCGUGUAUGAAGAAGGCCCUAGGGUUGUAAAGUACUUUCAGUCGGGAGGCGGUACAGGAAGAAGAAGCACCGGCUAACUCCGUGCCAGCAGCCGCGGUAAUUC